UGAGCCGAAGGCAGACGCUUAACGACUGAGCCACCCAGGCGACCCAAUAGAAACUUUUUUAAAAAUAAAAAAUUCAAAUUGUUUUUCUAGUAUUAACCAUUUGGUAAGAUUCCACUACUAUACUUUGAAUAUUCCCCAUAAUCAUCCAGUUAAUAUAUCACUUUAACACAGUUACUGUUAUUUACUAUGUGCAAGGCAUUUUUUUUAGGUUUUGUAGUAUACACAGAAUAUGUGAAGCAUAUGUGAUAAAGCCUGAUGUAUACAGAAAACACAUGUACAAUCAUAGAGGUAGACAAGAUGCUUAUAAGAGCUCAGGGGAAGUAGGGUUCAAUUCUGAUUGGAAAGAAAAAGUUUGGGAAGCUCCUGAGACGAGUUUUGAAGGAUGGGAUUAGAGACAUAAGGGCAGGAAGGGAGUAGUCAGCAAAGGUACAGAAGCAAGGAAGUACAAGAAAUGAUGUGGAGUAUGUGCUUAGUCUUUCAUUCAGUACACAUUCAGUGUCAGGCACUACUGAGCACUGCUCAGGGGGAGAGAAAGGGUUCCUGCCCUUACACUCCAGUGUUUUCGCAAAUAAUGACUAAAAUGUACUUAAGAGAGUAAGAAUAAGGUGGAAAUAAAAAUGAAGUAGGAGAAAAGAUUGUUAAGGAGUAUGAUGCUAAACAAGCAGCACUUCAACUUUCUGGCAUUUAGUAUCAUGUAAUACAGAAAAGUACUAGUUAUGAUAGGAUUGAGUUUCAUAUUUCUGCGUUUUGUUCUCAAGGUAAUGGAAGGCCAUUGAGGUCUUUGAACCAAGGAAUGGCGUGAUCAUCUUAACUGCCUUCAGAAGAAUAAAAUUAAGUGGGGAAGGAACAGAAAGAAAAACUAUUUUGGAAGCCUGGAAAUAAAAGCCUGAGGGUCACAAGUAGAAGAGCUAAAAGGCAUUGACAUGACAGGUGGGUGUUCCCUCUAACGCUGUAAGACGAUUGUCGGCACCAUCCACCCCUGAGGUUGCAGGCUCACGGGACUCCGGAUCCAGGGAGCUACUGACUCCCACUUGACCUCUGGCCUGCCGCUCCUCCUGUGUGAGGCUGAAUGGUGCCACCUGGGAGUGUGGAGGGGUUCCUGCUCCGUGGUAGAAACUGACCAGGGCGGGAGAGUCUGCAGAAACGUCGCCUUCCUCCUCCUCCGCGGGGGUGAGCCGAGCCGAAGGGGCCCGCAGCGCCGAUGCUCCGAACGCAGUGAGACGAGGCGAACAGCAUUUCCGAAGCGAGAGAGUGAGUGCGCAGGAGUGCCGGUGGGGGGCAGAAGGAGACGCAGAAUGCCAAGCAGGCUCCACGCCAAGGGCAGAGGCUGCCGCAGGACUGGAUUCAGGACCCUGAGAUUAUGAGCUGAGCUGAAAUCAAGAGCCUGUCACUUAACCAGCUGAGUCACCCAGGUGCCCCAAAACUUUUUUUUCUAAUGUGUUUUAUUGCUAUAAAUUUCCCCAUAAGUACUGCAUCCCAUAGAUUAUUUUUUCAAGUAUUUCUCUCUACUUCCUGUCUCACCUUUGAGGACUCAGAUUACAAUUACACGUAUCAGGGCACUUGAAAUUGUACCACAGCCUGUUGAUGCUCUACUCAUUUUUUCUCAGUGUUUUCUUUUCCUCUGCUUUUCAUUUUGCAGAGUUUCUAUUACUAUGUCUUAUAUACUAUAAUUUUUUUCUUCCAUUACACUUUAACUACAAUUAAUCCCAUGUGUGCAUUUUUUGUUGUUUUUGUUUUUAAAUCUUAGACAUUGUAGUUUUUGUCUCUACAAGUUUAGUUUGGUUGCUUUUUUAUAACUUUCAUGUCUCUACCAAACAUACUGUGUUUCCCCUAGCUUCUUGAUCAUAUGGAAUGUAGGUAUAAUUAUCUUAAUGUGCUUGUCUAUUAAUUCUUUGUCAUUUCUGGGCCAAUUUAGUUGAGUGGUUUUUCUUACUAUGGGCUGUAUUUUCCUGCUUCCUUGCAUGAUUUAUAAUUUCUUUUUAAAGAUU